ACGGAAGGCAGCAGUGGGGAAUAUUGCACAAUGGGGGAAACCCUGAUGCAGCGACGCCGCGUGAGUGAAGAAGUAUUUCGGUAUGUAAAGCUCUAUCAGCAGGAAAGAAAAUGACGGUACUUGACUAAGAAGCCCCGGCUAACUACGUGCCAGCAGCCGCGGUAAUACGUAGGGGGCAAGCGUUAUCCGGAUUUACUGGGUGUAAAGGGAGCGUAGACGGCUUUGCAAGUCUGAAGUGAAAGCCCGGGGCUCAACCCCGGAACUGCUUUGGAAACUGUAGAGCUAGAGUGCAGGAGAAGUAAGUGGAAUUCCUAGUGUAGCGGUGAAAGGCGUAGAUAUUAGGAGGAACACCAGUGGCGAAGGCGGCUUACUGGACUGUAACUGACGUUGAGGCUCGAAGGCGUGGGGAGCAAACAGGAUUAGAUACCCUGGUA
rnacentral:rRNA from 1 species